rnacentral:rRNA from 1 species
UACAGAGGUCUCAAGCGUUGUUCGGAUUCAUUGGGCGUAAAGGGUGCGUAGGCGGCGCGGUAAGUCGGGUGUGAAAUCUCGGGGCUUAACUCCGAAACUGCAUUCGAUACUGCCGUGCUUGAGGACUGGAGAGGAGACUGGAAUUUACGGUGUAGCGGUGAAAUGCGUAGAUAUCGUGAGGAAGACCAACGGCGAAAGCAGGCCUCUGGAAAUCUCCUGACACUGAGGCUCGAAUGCCAGGGGAGCAACCGGU